rnacentral:ncRNA from 2 species
UUCUUAUCAAGAGUGGCGGAGGGACUGGCCCUACGAUGCCCGGCAACCGGUUAAUAACACGGUGCUAAAUCCAGCAGAGCAAUUUAGCUCUGGAAGAUAAGAA